AUUGAACGCUGGCGGCAGGCCUAACACAUGCAAGUCGGGCGAGUGGCGGACGGGUGAGUAAUGUAUGGGGAUCUGCCUGAUGGCGGGGGAUAACUACUGGAAACGGUAGCUAAUACCGCAUACCAUCGGAUGAACCCAGCUGGGAUUAGCUAGUAGGUGAGGUAAAGGCUCACCUAGGCGACGAUCCCUAGCUGGUCUGAGAGGAUGAUCAGCCACACUGGAACUGAGACACGGCCCAGACUCCUACGGGAGGCAGCAGUGGGGAAUAUUGCACAAUGGGCGCAAGCCUGAUGCAGCCAUGCCGCGUGUAUGAAGAAGGCCUUCGGGUUGGAAAGUACUUUCAGUCGGGAGGCGUUACCGGCAGAAGAAGCACCGGCUAACUCCGUGCCAGCCGCCGCGGUAAUAC
rnacentral:rRNA from 1 species